AAUGGCAAACCCCACCCUGCCUGUUCAUUCUGGAACCCUCGCCGCCCCUCUGUUCCACAGGUGCUCGCCCUUAAUCCAGUGUUCCAGAAAAAUCUCCGGCGGCAGAGCUCGUGCUGUUCCGGCGGUUGCCGGUGAAAAAUGGAUGAUGCUGGCAUGGUGUUCCUUCUCGAUCCUGUUUACAGGUUAGUGCCCUCAGAUCUGCAAAUUAAUUUGAGCAUUUGUUUCCAUGCUAACUUCCGGGGCUUGGUCGCCGGCAAGGCCAUCCUUUGCCAGGUUCCCACUGCGAGAGGAGUUGGCCGACAGCCAUGAGCACCUACAUCCGGUUUCUCUGGUCUUGCUGGCGAACAGCAGUGCCGGAGUUGCCGUUCCUGAGAACUCAAGUGCUGGUUCUGGCUGCGGUCAGCAGGUUGGCGACGACGGCACUAAUACGGCACAAGCUGGAGUGCGCCGUCGCCCGGAUACAUCCCCGACGAGGUCGGGCAGAGUCUAUCACUCUAUCCACAGGCCCCUGGGUGGAGAAAAAGGGCGGAGCUGUGAGGAGAACAAAUUUGGCGAUAGAGCGGCAUGCAAGUAAAAAUAUACACUAGGGCAAUGUUUGAAGAGUUUGGUUGUGAAGUAAUUGAAGGGACGGCCUACAAUGUCACAGAAGUAGAGAAGAUGAGGAAGUAUGUCACAGUUCACAACAAUGCAGCAAAAAGAGAGGAAUGGAGCAGAGUUCAGUACAGGUGAACAUAAGUGAAGACAAAAACAGAGUUUACAUGUGAAUGUGGCCAGUUUGAGCACACUGGGAUGUUAUGCAACCAUGUUUUGAUGGUCAUGGAUAUACUUCAUCUCAAGGAGAUCCCUGCUAUGCAUAUAUUGAAGCGGGUGGACCAAGGACGCGAGGGACAUACUUCCCAAUCAUCUUGUUCAGUACCAGAAGGAUAAUUCAGUUAAGUUGUCAUUCACCUGCAGGCACUCGACUCCAUACCUCAAAGCCAUGGAGGUUGUACGGAUAGGCGAUGCGAGUGCAGAAUCGUUCGAUCACAUGUUUGGUGGUCUCACAGCUUUACUGGUGAGUGGCGCACCUUAGUCAGAGAAAAGGGAUGGUUUGGGUUUCGAGGACCCGCAUGGCCGGUUUGGCUCCUGGUACACUACCUGGCAAUGAGAGGCUGCAUAUGUUGGAGACGGCGGUGCUGAUCAAUGCUGGUAAUUUUGUUAGUGUGAAU